rnacentral:rRNA from 1 species
UACGAAGGGGCUAGCGUUGCUCGGAAUCACUGGGCGUAAAGGGUGCGUAGGCGGGUCUUUAAGUCAGGGGUGAAAUCCUGGAGCUCAACUCCAGAACUGCCUUGAUACUGAAGAUCUUGAGUCCGGGAGAGGUGAGUGGAACUGCGAGUGUAGAGGUGAAAUUCGUAGAUAUUCGCAAGAACACCAGUGGCGAAGGCGGACUCGACUGGCCCG